UAGCCGUACCGGAAGGUGCGGCUGGAUCACCUCCUAACAGGGAGACAAACUGAUCAUGAUGUCUGAGUACUUUAUUCUCAGGCCAUGGUCCUGUCACCUUAGGUCGAUCGGUACCUCAAGGAGUGAAUCAGAGAGUCUGAGCAAUCAGAGGAGACUGACUUUACUUUUUCAGUUCUUAAACGUUGUCUAGGUCACCCCAAAGCUCCUGGGCCCAUUAGCUCAGGUGGUUAGAGCGCACCCCUGAUAAGGGGGGAGGUCCCUGGUUCAAGUCCAGGAUGGCCCAUGCAUAGCCUGCGAUGCAGGCGGGACUUGAAAGCUGGGGGUUUAGCUCAGUUGGUAGAGCGCCUGCUUUGCAAGCAGGAUGUCAGCGGUUCGAGUCCGCUAACCUCCAUAUCAACGCUAAGCCUGAAGCCCAUGCAGAAGGAGAGCCCAUGGUGCGGUGACAAACGACAGGAUGAGAAGGAGAGCUGAGGACGACUCCAGCCUUCAGGAGCACAGGAGAUGUGCUGUUGAAUGCUGGACUCACACCCGCGAGGGUGAGAUGUUCAGCGACGAACCUUGACAACUGCAUAGAAUAGUUUGGAAAAGCAUCUCAUGGAUGCCAAAUUCCACGAUGGCUGACUGCUGCAAUUUUAUUGCAGCACUUGUCAGAGGGAGGUUGGAAAAUUCUAUGACGAAAUGAGCCAGAGCGUCUUGUGAUGAGACG
rnacentral:tRNA from 1 species